rnacentral:misc_RNA from 1 species
UACGUAGGGUGCGAGCGUUAAUCGGAAUUACUGGGCGUAAAGCGUGCGCAGGCGGUCCGUUAAGACAGUCGUGAAAGCCCCGGGCUUAACCUGGGAACUGCGAUUGUGACUGGCGGGCUAGAGUGUGUCAGAGGGGGGUGGAAUUCCACGUGUAGCAGUGAAAUGCGUAGAUAUAGGAAGGAACACCAGUGGCGAAGGCGACCACCUGGACUGAUACUGACACUGAGGUGCGAAAGCGUGGGGAGCAAACAGG